rnacentral:rRNA from 1 species
AGUGAACGCUGGCGGUAGGCCUAACACAUGCAAGUCGAACGGCAGCACAGUAAGAGCUUGCUCUUACGGGUGGCGAGUGGCGGACGGGUGAGGAAUACAUCGGAAUCUACUUUUUCGUGGGGGAUAACGUAGGGAAACUUACGCUAAUACCGCAUACGACCUACGGGUGAAAGCAGGGGAUCUUCGGACCUUGCGCGAUUGAAUGAGCCGAUGUCGGAUUAGCUAGUUGGCGGGGUAAAGGCCCACCAAGGCGACGAUCCGUAGCUGGUCUGAGAGGAUGAUCAGCCACACUGGAACUGAGACACGGUCCAGACUCCUACGGGAGGCAGCAGUGGGGAAUAUUGGGCAAUGGGCGAAAGCCUGAUCCAGCAAUACCGCGUGGGUGAAGAAGGCCUUCGGGUUGUAAAGCCCUUUUAUUGGGAAAGAAAAGCAGCAGGUUAAACCCCCGCCGUUUUGACGGUACCCAAAGAAAAAGCCACGGCUAACUUCGUG